rnacentral:rRNA from 1 species
UUCUGGCUCAGGAUGAACGCUAGCGACAGGCUUAACACAUGCAAGUCGAGGGGCAGCAUAAAAGUAGCAAUACUUGGUGGCGACCGGCGCACGGGUGAGUAACGCGUAUGCAACCUACCUAUCGAGAGGGGAAUAACCCGGCGAAAGUCGGACUAAUACCGCAUAAAACAGGGGCACCGCAUGGUGAUAUUUGUUAAAGAAAUUCGCUGAUAGAUGGGCAUGCGUUCCAUUAGGUAGUUGGUGAGGUAACGGCUCACCAAGCCGACGAUGGAUAGGGGAACUGAGAGGUUGGUCCCCCACACUGGUACUGAGACACGGACCAGACUCCUACGGGAGGCAGCAGUGAGGAAUAUUGGUCAAUGGGCGAGAGCCUGAACCAGCCAAGUCGCGUGAAGGAAGAAGGAUCUAUGGUUCGUAAACUUCUUUUGCAGGGGAAUAAAGUGCAGGACGUGUCCUGUUUUGUAUGUACCCUGAGAAUAAGGAUCGGCUAACUCCGUGCCAGCCGCGGC